rnacentral:rRNA from 1 species
GACAGAGGUGGCGAGCGUUGUUCGGAAUCACUGGGCGUAAAGGGCGCGUAGGCGGCCUAGCCAGUCUGGUGUGAAAGCCCAGGGCUCAACCCUGGAAGGGCACUGGAAACUGUUAGGCUUGAGUUCCGGAGAGGAGGGGGGAAUUCCCGGUGUAGCGGUGAAAUGCGUAGAUAUCGGGAGGAAUACCGGUGGCGAAGGCGCCCCUCUGGACGGAAACUGACGCUGAGGCGCGAAAGCGUGGGGAGCAAACAGG